GACGAACGCUGGCGGCGUGCCUAAUACAUGCAAGUUGAGCGAUGAAGAUUGGUGCUUGCACCAAUUUGAAGAGCAGCGAACGGGUGAGUAACGCGUGGGGAAUCUGCCUUUGAGCGGGGGACAACAUUUGGAAACGAAUGCUAAUACCGCAUAACAACUUUAAACAUAAGUUUUAAGUUUGAAAGAUGCAAUUGCAUCACUCAAAGAUGAUCCCGCGUUGUAUUAGCUAGUUGGUGAGGUAAAGGCUCACCAAGGCGAUGAUACAUAGCCGACCUGAGAGGGUGAUCGGCCACAUUGGGACUGAGACACGGCCCAAACUCCUACGGGAGGCAGCAGUAGGGAAUCUUCGGCAAUGGACGAAAGGCUGACCGAGCAACGCCGCGUGAGUGAAGAAGGUUGUCGGAUCGUAAAACUCUGUUGGUAGAGAAGAACGUUGGUGAGAGUGGAAAGCUCAUCAAGUGACGGUAACUACCCAGAAAGGGACGGCUAACUACGUG
rnacentral:rRNA from 1 species